GAUAAGUAAUGUGAAUUGCAGAAUUUAGUGAAUCAUCGAAUCUUUGAACGCACAUUGCGCCCCUUGGCAUUCCGAGGGGCAUGCCUGUUCGAGCGUC
rnacentral:rRNA from 1 species